UACGAAGGGGGCUAGCGUUGCUCGGAAUCACUGGGCGUAAAGGGCGCGUAGGCGGGCAGGCAAGUCAGGGGUGAAAGCCCACGGCUCAACCGUGGAAGUGCCUUUGAUACUGCUUGUCUUGAGGGAGGUAGGGGCGUGCGGAACUUCCGGUGGAGCGGUGAAAUGCGUAGAUAUCGGAAGGAACACCGGUGGCGAAAGCGGCGCGCUGGACCUCUACUGACGCUGAGGCGCGAAAGCCAGGGGAGCAAACGGG
rnacentral:rRNA from 1 species